UCCGUAGGUGAACCUGCGGAGGGAUCAUUACCGAGUUUACAACUCCCAAACCCCUGUGAACAUACCUUAAUGUUGCCUCGGCGGAUCAGCCCGCGCCCCGUAAAACGGGACGGCCCGCCAGAGGACCCAAACUCUAAUGUUUCUUAUUGUAACUUCUGAGUAAAACAAACAAAUAAAUCAAAACUUUCAACAACGGAUCUCUUGGUUCUGGCAUCGAUGAAGAACGCAGCAAAAUGCGAUAAGUAAUGUGAAUUGCAGAAUUCAGUGAAUCAUCGAAUCUUUGAACGCACAUUGCGCCCGCUGGUAUUCCGGCGGGCAUGCCUGUUCGAGCGUCAUUUCAACCCUCAAGCCCCCCUUCGCGGGCGGCCUGGUGUUGGGGCUCGGCCGCUACCCUGCGGCCGUCCCCUAAAUCCAGUGGCGGCCUCGCCGUGAUCCCUUGCGUAGUAAUGCACCUCGCACCGGAGAGCGCCGUGGCCACGCCGUAAAACCCCCAAUUUUCAAUGGUUGACCUCGGAUCAGGUGGGAAUACCCGCUGAACUUAAGCAUAUCAAUAAGCGGAGGAA
rnacentral:rRNA from 1 species